UGGGGAAUCUUCGGCAAUGGGCGAAAGCCUGACCGAGCCAUGCCGCGUGAGUGAUGACGGCCUUAGGGUUGUAAAGCUCUUUCGACGGGGACGAUAAUGACGGUACCCGUAGAAGAAGCCCCGGCUAACUUCGUGCCAGCAGCCGCGGUAAUACGUAGGGGGCGAGCGUUGUCCGGAAUUAUUGGGCGUAAAGAGCGUGUAGGCGGCCUGGUAAGUCUGCCGUGAAAACCUGGGGCUCAACCCUGGGCGUGCGGUGGAUACUGCUAGGCUAGAGGGUGGUAGAGGCGAGUGGAAUUCCCGGUGUAGCGGUGAAAUGCGCAGAUAUCGGGAGGAACACCAGUAGCGAAGGCGGCUCGCUGGGCCAUUCCUGACGCUGAGACGCGAAAGCGUGGGGAGCAAACAGGAUUAGAUACCCCGGUAGUCC
rnacentral:rRNA from 1 species